rnacentral:tRNA from 1 species
AUGUAGCCAAGUGGAUUAAGGCGGUGGAUUGUGAAUCC